rnacentral:rRNA from 1 species
UCAGAACAUGGGUGAUAAGGUCCGUGUUCGAAAGGGAAACAGCCCAGACCACCAGCUAAGGUCCCAAAAUAUAUGUUAAGUGGAAAAGGAUGUGGCGUUGCCCAGACAACUAGGAUGUUGGCUUAGAAGCAGCCAUCAUUUAAAGAGUGCGUAAUAGCUCACUAGUCGAGUGACACUGCGCCGAAAAUGUACCGGGGCUAAACAUAUUACCGAAGCUGUGGAUUGUCCUUUGGACAAUGGUAGGAGAGCGUUCUAAGGGCGUUGAAGCAUGAUCGUAAGGACAUGUGGAGCGCUUAGAAGUGAGAAUGCCGGUGUGAGUAGCGAAAGACGGGUGAGAAUCCCGUCCACCGAUUGACUAAGGUUUCCAGAGGAAGGCUCGUCCGCUCUGGGUUAGUCGGGUCCUAAGCUGAGGCCGACAGGCGUAGGCGAUGGAUAACAGGUUGAUAUUCCUGUACCACCUAUAAUCGUUUUAAUCGAUGGGGGGACGCAGUAGGAUAGGCGAAGCGUGCGAUUGGAUUGCACGUCUAAGCAGUAAGGCUGAGUAUUAGGCAAAUCCGGUACUCAUUAAGGCUGAGCUGUGAUGGGGAGAAGACAUUGUGUCUUCGAGUCGUUGAUUUCACACUGCCGAGAAAAGCCUCUAGAUAGAAAAUAGGUGCCCGUACCGCAAACCGACACAGGUAGUCAAGAUGAGAAUUCUAAGGUGAGCGAGCGAACUCUCGUUAAGGAACUCGGCAAAAUGACCCCGUAACUUCGGGAGAAGGGGUGCUCUUUAGGGUUAACGCCCAGAAGAGCCGCAGUGAAUAGGCCCAAGCGACUGUUUAUCAAAAACACAGGUCUCUGCUAAACCGUAAGGUGAUGUAUAGGGGCUGACGCCUGCCCGGUGCUGGAAGGUUAAGAGGAGUGGUUAGCUUCUGCGAAGCUACGAAUCGAAGCCCCAGUAAACGGCGGCCGUAACUAUAACGGUCCUAAGGUAGCGAAAUUCCUUGUCGGGUAAGUUCCGACCCGCACGAAAGGCGUAACGAUUUGGGCACUGUCUCAACGAGAGACUCGGUGAAAUCAUAGUACCUGUGAAGAUGCAGGUUACCCGCGACAGGACGGAAAGACCCCGUGGAGCUUUACUGUAGCCUGAUAUUGAAAUUCGGCACAGCUUGUACAGGAUAGGUAGGAGCCUUUGAAACGUGAGCGCUAGCUUACGUGGAGGCGCUGGUGGGAUACUACCCUAGCUGUGUUGGCUUUCUAACCCGCACCACUUAUCGUGGUGGGAGACAGUGUCAGGCGGGCAGUUUGACUGGGGCGGUCGCCUCCUAAAAGGUAACGGAGGCGCUCAAAGGUUCCCUCAGAAUGGUUGGAAAUCAUUCAUAGAGUGUAAAGGCAUAAGGGAGCUUGACUGCGAGACCUACAAGUCGAGCAGGGUCGAAAGACGGACUUAGUGAUCCGGUGGUUCCGCAUGGAAGGGCCAUCGCUCAACGGAUAAAAGCUACCCCGGGGAUAACAGGCUUAUCUCCCCCAAGAGUUCACAUCGACGGGGAGGUUUGGCACCUCGAUGUCGGCUCAUCGCAUCCUGGGGCUGUAGUCGGUCCCAAGGGUUGGGCUGUUCGCCCAUUAAAGCGGUACGCGAGCUGGGUUCAGAACGUCGUGAGACAGUUCGGUCCCUAUCCGUCGUGGGCGUAGGAAAUUUGAGAGGAGCUGUCCUUAGUACGAGAGGACCGGGAUGGACAUACCUCUGGUGUACCAGUUGUCGUGCCAACGGCAUAGCUGGGUAGCUAUGUGUGGACGGGAUAAGUGCUGAAAGCAUCUAAGCAUGAAGCCCCCCUCAAGAUGAGAUUUCCCAACUUCGGUUAUAAGAUCCCUCAAAGAUGAUGAGGUUAAUAGGUUCGAGGUGGAAGCAUGGUGACAUGUGGAGCUGACGAAUACUAA